rnacentral:lncRNA from 1 species
AUGACAUCCCCAAAUCUAACUACCUGUAGUUUAGGACCUGAAGCAAGGAUAUGCAUAUUCUGGAUACCAUUGGAAAUGACAUCCCCAAAUCUAACUACCUGUAGUUUAGGACCUGAAGCAAGGAUAUGCAGAUUCUGGAUGCCAUUGGAAAUGACAUACCCAAAUCUAACUACCUGUAGUUUAGGACCUGAAGCAACGAUAUGCAGAUUCUGGAUACCAUUGGAAAUGACAUCCCCAAAUCUAACUACCUGUAGUUUAGGACCUGAAGCAACGAUAUGCAGAUUCUGGAUACCAUUGGAAAUGACAUCCCCAAAUCUAACUACCUGUAGUUUAGGACCUGAAGCAAGGAUAUGCAUAUUCUGGAUACCAUUGGAAAUGACAUACCCAAAUCUAACUACCUGUAGUUUAGGACCUGAAGCAAUGAUAUGCAGAUUCUGGAUACCAUUGGAAAUGACAUACCCAAAUCUAACUACCUGUAGUUUAGGACCUGAAGCAAGGAUAUGCAUAUUCUGGAUACCAUUGGAAAUGACAUCCCCAAAUCUAACUACCUGUAGUUUAGGACCUGAAGCAAGGAUAUGCAUAUUCUGGAUACCAUUGGAAAUGACAUCCCCAAAUCUAACUACCUGUAGUUUAGGACCUGAAGCAAGGAUAUGCAUAUUCUGGAUACCAUUGGAAAUGACAUACCCAAAUCUAACUACCUGUAGUUUAGGACCUGAAGCAAGGAUAUGCAGAUUCUGGAUACCAUUGGAAAUGACAUACCCAAAUCUAACUACCUGUAGUUUAGGACCUGAAGCAAGGAUAUGCAUAUUCUGGAUACCAUUGGAAAUGACAUCCCCAAAUCUAACUACCUGUAGUUUAGGACCUGAAGCAAUGAUAUGCAGAUUCUGGAUACCAUUGGAAAUGACAUCCCCAAAUCUAACUACCUGUAGUUUAGGACCUGAAGCAACGAUAUGCAGAUUCUGGAUACCAUUGGAAAUGACAACCCCAAAUCUAACUACCUGUAGUUCAGGACCUGAAGCAAGGAUAUGCAUAUUCUGGAUACCAUUGGAAAUGACAUACCCAAAUCUAACUAACUGUAGUUUAGGACCUGAAGCAAGGAUAUGCAUAUUCUGGAUACCAUUGGAAAUGACAUCCCCAAAUCUAACUACCUGUAGUUUAGGACCUGAAGCAAGGAUAUGCAUAUUCUGGAUACCAUUGGAAAUGACAUCCCCAAAUCUAACUACCUGUAGUUUAGGACCUGAAGCAACGAUAUGCAUAUUCUGGAUACCAUUGGAAAUUACAUCCCCAAAUCUAACUACCUGUAGUUUAGGACCUGAAGCAAGGAUAUGCAGAUUCUGGAUACCAUUGGAAAUUACAUCCCCAAAUCUAACUACCUGUAGUUUAGGACCUGAAGCAAGGAUACGCAUAUUCUGGAUACCAUUGGAAAUGACAUACCCAAAUCUAACUACCUUUAGUUUAGGACCUGAAGCAAGGAUAUGCAGAUUCUGGAUACCAUUGGAAAUGACAUACCCAAAUCUAACUACCUGUAGUUUAGGACCUGAAGCAAGGAUAUGCAUAUUCUGGAUACCAUUGGAAAUUACAUCCCCAAAUCUAACUACCUGUAGUUUAGGACCUGAAGCAACGAUAUGCAGAUUCUGGAUACCAUUGGAAAUGACAUCCCCAAAUCUAACUACCUGUAGUUUAGGACCUGAAGCAACGAUAUGCAGAUUCUGGAUACCAUUGGAAAUGACAUCCCCAAAUAUAACUACCUGUAGUUUAGGACCUGAAGCAAGGAUAUGCAUAUUCUGGAUACCAUUGGAAAUGACAUACCCAAAUCUAACUACCUGUAGUUUAGGACCUGAAGCAAUGAUAUGCAGAUUCUGGAUACCAUUGGAAAUGACAUACCCAAAUCUAACUACCUGUAGUUUAGGACCUGAAGCAAGGAUAUGCAUAUUCUGGAUACCAUUGGAAAUGACAUCCCCAAAUCUAACUACCUGUAGUUUAGGACCUGAAGCAAGGAUAUGCAUAUUCUGGAUACCAUUGGAAAUGACAUCCCCAAAUCUAACUACCUGUAGUUUAGGACCUGAAGCAAGGAUAUGCAUAUUCUGGAUACCAUUGGAAAUGACAUACCCAAAUCUAACUACCUGUAGUUUAGGACCUGAAGCAAGGAUAUGCAGAUUCUGGAUGCCAUUGGAAAUGACAUACCCAAAUCUAACUACCUGUAGUUUAGGACCUGAAGCAACGAUAUGCAGAUUCUGGAUACCAUUGGAAAUGACAUCCCCAAAUCUAACUACCUGUAGUUUAGGACCUGAAGCAAUGAUAUGCAGAUUCUGGAUACCAUUGGAAAUGACAUACCCAAAUCUAACUACCUGUAGUUUAGGACCUGAAGCAACGAUAUGCAGAUUCUGGAUACCAUUGGAAAUGACAUCCCCAAAUCUAACUACCUGUAGUUUAGGACCUGAAGCAACGAUAUGCAGAUUCUGGAUACCAUUGGAAAUGACAACCCCAAAUCUAACUACCUGUAGUUCAGGACCUGAAGCAAGGAUAUGCAUAUUCUGGAUACCAUUGGAAAUGACAUACCCAAAUCUAACUAACUGUAGUUUAGGACCUGAAGCAAUGAUAUGCAGAUUCUGGAUACCAUUGGAAAUGACAUACCCAAAUCUAACUACCUGUAGUUUAGGACCUGAAGCAAGGAUAUGCAUAUUCUGGAUACCAUUGGAAAUGACAUCCCCAAAUCUAACUACCUGUAGUUUAGGACCUGAAGCAACGAUAUGCAUAUUCUGGAUACCAUUGGAAAUUACAUCCCCAAAUCUAACUACCUGUAGUUUAGGACCUGAAGCAAGGAUAUGCAGAUUCUGGAUACCAUUGGAAAUUACAUCCCCAAAUCUAACUACCUGUAGUUUAGGACCUGAAGCAAGGAUACGCAUAUUCUGGAUACCAUUGGAAAUGACAUACCCAAAUCUAACUACCUGUAGUUUAGGACCUGAAGCAAGGAUAUGCAGAUUCUGGAUACCAUUGGAAAUGACAUACCCAAAUCUAACUACCUGUAGUUUAGGACCUGAAGCAAGGAUAUGCAUAUUCUGGAUACCAUUGGAAAUUACAUCCCCAAAUCUAACUACCUGUAGUUUAGGACCUGAAGCAACGAUAUGCAGAUUCUGGAUACCAUUGGAAAUGACAUCCCCAAAUCUAACUACCUGUAGUUUAGGACCUGAAGCAACGAUAUGCAGAUUCUGGAUACCAUUGGAAAUGACAUCCCCAAAUAUAACUACCUGUAGUUUAGGACCUGAAGCAAGGAUAUGCAUAUUCUGGAUACCAUUGGAAAUGACAUACCCAAAUCUAACUACCUGUAGUUUAGGACCUGAAGCAAUGAUAUGCAGAUUCUGGAUACCAUUGGAAAUGACAUACCCAAAUCUAACUACCUGUAGUUUAGGACCUGAAGCAAGGAUAUGCAUAUUCUGGAUACCAUUGGAAAUGACAUACCCAAAUCUAACUACCUGUAGUUUAGGACCUGAAGCAACUAUAUGCAGAUUCUGGAUACCAUUGGAAAUGACAUACCCAAAUCUAACUACCUGUAGUUUAGGACCUGAAGCAAGGAUAUGCAUAUUCUGGAUACCAUUGGAAAUGACAUACCCAAAUCUAACUACCUGUAGUUUAGGACCUGAAGCAAGGAUAUGCAGAUUCUGGAUACCAUUGGAAAUGACAUACCCAAAUCUAACUACCUGUAGUUUAGGACCUGAAGCAAGGAUAUGCAUAUUCUGGAUACCAUUGGAAAUGACAUCCCCAAAUCUAACUACCUGUAGUUUAGGACCUGAAGCAACGAUAUGCAGAUUCUGGAUACCAUUGGAAAUGACAUCCCCAAAUCUAACUACCUGUAGUUUAGGACCUGAAGCAACGAUAUGCAGAUUCUGGAUACCAUUGGAAAUGACAUCCCCAAAUCUAACUACCUGUAGUUUAGGACCUGAAGCAACGAUAUGCAUAUUCUGGAUACCAUUGGAAAUGACAUCCCCAAAUCUAACUACCUGUAGUUUAGGACCUGAAGCAAGGAUAUGCAUAUUCUGGAUACCAUUGGAAAUGACAUACCCAAAUCUAACUACCUGUAGUUUAGGACCUGAAGCAAUGAUAUGCAGAUUCUGGAUACCAUUGGAAAUGACAUACCCAAAUCUAACUACCUGUAGUUUAGGACCUGAAGCAAGGAUAUGCAUAUUCUGGAUACCAUUGGAAAUUACAUACCCAAAUCUAACUACCUGUAGUUUAGGACCUGAAGCAAGGAUAUGCAGAUUCUGGAUACCAUUGGAAAUGACAUACCCAAACCUAACUACCUGUAGUUUAGGACCUGAAGCAAGGAUAUGCAUAUUCUGGAUACCAUUGGAAAUGACAUCCCCAAAUCUAACUACCUGUAGUUUAGGACCUGAAGCAAGGAUAUGCAUAUUCUGGAUACCAUUGGAAAUGACAUACCCAAAUCUAACUACCUGUAGUUUAGGACCUGAAGCAACGAUAUGCAGAUUCUGGAUACCAUUGGAAAUGACAUACCCAAAUCUAACUACCUGUAGUUUAGGACCUGAAGCAACGAUAUGCAGAUUCUGGAUACCAUUGGAAAUGACAUACCCAAAUCUAACUACCUGUAGUUUAGGACCUGAAGCAACGAUAUGCAUAUUCUGGAUACCAUUGGAAAUGACAUACCCAAAUCUAACUACCUGUAGUUUAGGACCUGAAGCAACGAUAUGCAGAUUCUGGAUACCAUUGGAAAUGACAUACCCAAAUCUAACUACCUGUAGUUUAGGACCUGAAGCAACAAUAUGCAUAUUCUGGAUACCAUUGGAAAUGACAUACCCAAAUCUAACUACCUGUAAUUUAGGACUUGAAGCAACGAUAUGCAUAUUCUGGAUACCAUUGGAAAUUACAUACCCAAAUCUAACUACCUGUAGUUUAGGACCUGAAGCAACGAUAUGCAGAUUCUGGAUACCAUUGGAAAUGACAUCCCCAAAUCUAACUACCUGUAGUUUAGAACCUGAAGCAACGAUAUGCAGAUUCUGGAUACCAUUGGAAAUGACAUCCCCAAAUCUAACUACCUGUAGUUUAGGACCUGAAGCAAGGAUAUGCAUAUUCUGGAUACCAUUGGAAAUGACAUACCCAAAUCUAACUACCUGUAGUUUAGGACCUGAAGCAACUAUAUGCAGAUUCUGGAUACCAUUGGAAAUGACAUCCCCAAAUCUAACUACCUGUAGUUUAGGACCUGAAGCAAGGAUAUGCAUAUUCUGGAUACCAUUGGAAAUGACAUACCCAAAUCUAACUACCUGUAGUUUAGGACCUGAAGCAAGGAUAUGCAGAUUCUGGAUACCAUUGGAAAUGACAUACCCAAAUCUAACUACCUGUAGUUCAGGACCUGAAGCAAGGAUAUGCAUAUUCUGGAUACCAUUGGAAAUGACAUCCCCAAAUCUAACUACCUGUAGUUUAGGACCUGAAGCAACGAUAUGCAGAUUCUGGAUACCAUUGGAAAUGACAUACCCAAAUCUAACUACCUGUAGUUUAGGACCUGAAGCAACGAUAUGCAGAUUCUGGAUACCAUUGGAAAUGACAUACCCAAAUCUAACUACCUGUAGUUUAGGACCUGAAGCAACGAUAUGCAUAUUCUGGAUACCAUUGGAAAUGACAUACCCAAAUCUACCUACCUGUAGUUUAGGACCUGAAGCAACGAUAUGCAUAUUCUGGAUACCAUUGGAAAUGACAUACCCAAAUCUAACUACCUGUAGUUUAGGACCUGAAGCAACGAUAUGCAGAUUCUGGAUACCAUUGGAAAUGACAUCCCCAAAUCUAACUACCUGUAGUUUAGGACCUGAAGCAACGAUAUGCAGAUUCUGGAUACCAUUGGAAAUGACAUCCCCAAAUCUAACUACCUGUAGUUUAGGACCUGAAGCAACGAUAUGCAUAUUCUGGAUACCAUUGGAAAUGACAUCCCCAAAUCUAACUACCUGUAGUUUAGGACCUGAAGCAAGGAUAUGCAUAUUCUGGAUACCAUUGGAAAUGACAUACCCAAAUCUAACUACCUGUAGUUUAGGACCUGAAGCAAUGAUAUGCAGAUUCUGGAUACCAUUGGAAAUGACAUACCCAAAUCUAACUACCUGUAGUUUAGGACCUGAAGCAAGGAUAUGCAUAUUCUGGAUACCAUUGGAAAUGACAUACCCAAAUCUAACUACCUGUAGUUUAGGACCUGAAGCAAGGAUAUGCAGAUUCUGGAUACCAUUGGAAAUGACAUACCCAAAUCUAACUACCUGUAGUUUAGGACCUGAAGCAAGGAUAUGCAUAUUCUGGAUACCAUUGGAAAUGACAUCCCCAAAUCUAACUACCUGUAGUUUAGGACCUGAAGCAAGGAUAUGCAUAUUCUGGAUACCAUUGGAAAUGACAUACCCAAAUCUAACUACCUGUAGUUUAGGACCUGAAGCAACGAUAUGCAGAUUCUGGAUACCAUUGGAAAUGACAUACCCAAAUCUAACUACCUGUAGUUUAGGACCUGAAGCAACGAUAUGCAGAUUCUGGAUACCAUUGGAAAUGACAUACCCAAAUCUAACUACCUGUAGUUUAGGACCUGAAGCAACGAUAUGCAUAUUCUGGAUACCAUUGGAAAUGACAUACCCAAAUCUAACUACCUGUAGUUUAGGACCUGAAGCAACGAUAUGCAGAUUCUGGAUACCAUUGGAAAUGACAUACCCAAAUCUAACUACCUGUAGUUUAGGACCUGAAGCAACAAUAUGCAUAUUCUGGAUACCAUUGGAAAUGACAUACCCAAAUCUAACUACCUGUAGUUUAGGACUUGAAGCAACGAUAUGCAUAUUCUGGAUACCAUUGGAAAUUACAUACCCAAAUCUAACUACCUGUAGUUUAGGACCUGAAGCAACGAUAUGCAGAUUCUGGAUACCAUUCGAAAUGACAUCCCCAAAUCUAACUACCUGUAGUUUAGAACCUGAAGCAACGAUAUGCAGAUUCUGGAUACCAUUGGAAAUGACAUCCCCAAAUCUAACUACCUGUAGUUUAGGACCUGAAGCAAGGAUAUGCAUAUUCUGGAUACCAUUGGAAAUGACAUACCCAAAUCUAACUACCUGUAGUUUAGGACCUGAAGCAACUAUAUGCAGAUUCUGGAUACCAUUGGAAAUGACAUCCCCAAAUCUAACUACCUGUAGUUUAGGACCUGAAGCAAGGAUAUGCAUAUUCUGGAUACCAUUGGAAAUGACAUACCCAAAUCUAACUACCUGUAGUUUAGGACCUGAAGCAAGGAUAUGCAGAUUCUGGAUACCAUUGGAAAUGACAUACCCAAAUCUAACUACCUGUAGUUUAGGACCUGAAGCAAGGAUAUGCAUAUUCUGGAUACCAUUGGAAAUGACAUCCCCAAAUCUAACUACCUGUAGUUUAGGACCUGAAGCAACGAUAUGCAGAUUCUGGAUACCAUUGGAAAUGACAUACCCAAAUCUAACUACCUGUAGUUUAGGACCUGAAGCAACGAUAUGCAGAUUCUGGAUACCAUUGGAAAUGACAUACCCAAAUCUAACUACCUGUAGUUUAGGACCUGAAGCAACGAUAUGCAUAUUCUGGAUACCAUUGGAAAUGACAUACCCAAAUCUAACUACCUGUAGUUUAGGACCUGAAGCAACGAUAUGCAUAUUCUGGAUACCAUUGGAAAUGACAUACCCAAAUCUAACUACCUGUAGUUUAGGACCUGAAGCAACGAUAUGCAGAUUCUGGAUACCAUUGGAAAUGACAUCCCCAAAUCUAACUACCUGUAGUUUAGGACCUGAAGCAACGAUAUGCAGAUUCUGGAUACCAUUGGAAAUGACAUCCCCAAAUCUAACUACCUGUAGUUUAGGACCUGAAGCAACGAUAUGCAGAUUCUGGAUACCAUUGGAAAUGACAUACCCAAAUCUAACUACCUGUAGUUUAGGACCUGAAGCAACGAUAUGCAGAUUCUGGAUACCAUUGGAAAUGAACCACUUUGAAGUUUGUGGAAAUGUGAAAUGA